rnacentral:misc_RNA from 1 species
GGAAGGAUCAUUACCGAAUUGUCAAACACGGGUUGUUGCUGGCCCCCGAACGGGGCAUGUGCACGCUCUGUUUACACAUCCACUCACACCUGUGCACCCUCUGUAGUUCUGUGGACCGGGAGACGUCGUCUUCCUUCCGUAGCUCUACGUCUUUACACACACACCGUAGCGAUGUCUCAUGGAAUGUUUUUUUUCGCGUUUAACGCAAUACAAUACAACUUUCAGCAAC